rnacentral:miRNA from 1 species
AACGCCCUCCCCCCCUUCUUCA